rnacentral:rRNA from 1 species
AGGAUGAACGCUGGCGGCGUGCUUAACACAUGCAAGUCGAGCGGAAAGGCCCCUUCGGGGUACUCGAGCGGCGAACGGGUGAGUAACACGUGAGCAACCUGCCCCUUAGCUCUGGGAUAGCUCCGGGAAACCGGAAUUAAUACCGGAUAUUACACCGGCGUGACAUCGGCUGGUGUGGAAAGAUUUAUCGGCUAAGGAUGGACUCGCGGCCGUAUCAGCUUGUUGGUGGGGUAGUGGCCUACCAAGGCGACGACGGGUA